AGUCGAGGGGCAGCACAGAGAUAGCUGUGCUAUUUUGGUGGCGACCGGCGCACGGGUGCGUAACGCGUAUGCAAUCUACCUUAUACUGGGGUAUAGCCCGAAGAAAUUCGGAUUAAUCCCCCAUAGUACUGAUAUACCUCAUGGUAAUUCAGUUAAAGUUUCGGCGGUAUGAGAUGAGCAUGCGUCCUAUUAGCUAGAUGGUAAGGUAACGGCUUACCAUGGCUACGAUAGGUAGGGGGCCUGAGAGGGUGACCCCCCACACUGGUACUGAGACACGGACCAGACUCCUACGGGAGGCAGCAGUGAGGAAUAUUGGUCAAUGGGCGCAAGCCUGAACCAGCCAUGCCGCGUGCAGGAAGAAUGCCCUAUGGGUUGUAAACUGCUUUUAUUUAGGAAUAAACCUUUCUACGUGUAGAAAGCUGAAGGUACUGAAUGAAUAAGCACCGGCUAACUCCGUGCCAGCAGCCGCGGUAAUACGGAGGGUGCAAGCGUUAUCCGGAAUCAUUGGGUUUAAAGGGUCCGCAGGCGGGCGUAUAAGUCAGUGGUGAAAUCCUGCAGCUUAACUGCAGAACUGCCAUUGAUACUGUACGUCUUGAAUUCGGUCGAAGUGGGCGGAAUGUGUAGUGUAGCGGUGAAAUGCAUAGAUAUUACACAGAACACCGAUAGCGAAGGCAGCUCACUAGGCCUGGAUUGACGCUCAAGGACGAAAGCGUGGGGAUCAAACAGGAUUAGAUACCCUGGUAGUCCACGCUGUAAACGAUGAUUACUCGUUUUCGGCGAUAUACUGUCCGAGAACUAAGCGAAAGUGAUAAGUAAUCC
rnacentral:rRNA from 1 species